rnacentral:rRNA from 1 species
AGGAACGCUAAUACCGCAUACGUCCUACGGGAGAAAGCAGGGGACCUUCGGGCCUUGCGCUAUCAGAUGAGCCUAGGUCGGAUUAGCUAGUUGGUGGGGUAAUGGCUCACCAAGGCGACGAUCCGUAACUGGUCUGAGAGGAUGAUCAGUCACACUGGAACUGAGACACGGUCCAGACUCCUACGGGAGGCAGCAGUGGGGAAUAUUGGACAAUGGGCGAAAGCCUGAUCCAGCCAUGCCGCGUGUGUGAAGAAGGUCUUCGGAUUGUAAAGCACUUUAAGUUGGGAGGAAGGGCAGUAAGCGAAUACCUUGUUGUUUUGACGUUACCGACAGAAUAAGCACCGGCUAACUCUGUGCCAGCAGCCGCGGUAAUACAGAGGGUGCAAGCGUUAAUCGGAAUUACUGGGCGUAAAGCGCGCGUAGGUGGUUUGUUAAGUUGAAUGUGAAAGCCCCGGGCUCAACCUGGGAACUGCAUCCAAAACUGGCAAGCUAGAGUACGGUAGAGGGUGGUGGAAUUUCCUGUGUAGCGGUGAAAUGCGUAGAUAUAGGAAGGAACACCAGUGGCGAAGGCGACCACCUGGACUGAUACUGACACUGAGGUGCGAAAGCGUGGGG